UACGUAGGGUGCAAGCGUUUGUCCGGAAUUAUUGGGCGUAAAGAGCGUGUAGGCGGCCCGAUUAGUCCGCUGUGAAAGUCCAGGGCUCAACCCUGGAAUGCCGGUGGAUACUGUCGGGCUAGAGUCCGGAAGGGGCGAGUGGAAUUCCUGGUGUAGCGGUGAAAUGCGCAGAUAUCAGGAGGAACACCAAUGGCGAAGGCAGCUCGCUGGGACGUGACUGACGCUGAGACGCGAAAGCGUGGGGAGCGAACAGG
rnacentral:rRNA from 1 species